rnacentral:rRNA from 1 species
GCGUAACGCGUGAGCGACAUGCCCGUUGCCCGGGGACAACCGGUGGAAACGCCGACUAAUCCCCGAUGGGAUAUUGUGCCGCAUGGCACGAUAUUGAAAGUUACGGCGGCGACGGAUUGGCUCGCGUCCGAUUAGCUUGUUGGCGGGGUAACGGCCCACCAAGGCUACGAUCGGUAGGGGUUCUGAGAGGAAGGCCCCCCACAAUGGGACUGAGACACGGCCCAUACUCCUACGGGAGGCAGCAGUGAGGAAUAUUGGUCAAUGGGCGGAAGCCUGAACCAGCCAUGCCGCGUGCGGGAAGGAGGCCCUAUGGGCUGUGAACCGCUUUUGCCUGGGGGCAAUAAGGGCGUCGCGCACGCCCGAUGAGAGUACCAGGCGAAUAAGCAUCGGCUAACUCCGUGCCAGCAGCCGCGGUAAUACGGGGGAUGCGAGCGUUAUCCGGAUUCAUUGGGUUUAAAGGGUGCGUAGGCUGUGCGUCAAGUCGGGGGUGAGAUUCCGGUGCUCAACACCGGGGCUGCCCUUGAUACUGUCGCGCUGGAGUGCGGAUGCCGCCGGAGGAAUGAGUGGUGUAGCGGUGAAAUGCUUAGAUAUCACUCAGAACACCGAUUGCGAAGGCAUCUGGCGAAUCCGUAACUGACGCUGAGGCACGAAAGCGUGGGG